rnacentral:rRNA from 1 species
UACGGAGGGGGCUAGCGUUGUUCGGAAUUACUGGGCGUAAAGCGCACGUAGGCGGCUUUGUAAGUUAGAGGUGAAAGCCCAGGGCUCAACCCUGGAAUUGCCUUUAAGACUGCAUCGCUUGAACAUCGGAGAGGUAAGUGGAAUUCCGAGUGUAGAGGUGAAAUUCGUAGAUAUUCGGAAGAACACCAGUGGCGAAGGCGACUCACUGGCCCGUAACUGACGCUGAGGUGCGAAAGCGUGGGGAGCAAACAGG